rnacentral:rRNA from 1 species
CCUACGGGAGACUGCAGUGAGGGAUAUUGGUCAAUGGGGGAAACCCUGAACCAGCAACGCCGCGUGAGGGAAGACGGUUUUCGGAUUUUAAACCUCUGUCCUCUGUGAAGAUAAUGACUGUAGCAGAGGAGGAAGCUCCGGGUAAUUACGUGCCAGCAGCCGCGGUAAUACGUAGGGAGCAGGCGUUGUCCGGAUUUACUGGGUGUAAGGGGUGAGUAGGCGGGCUGGCAAUUCAGAAGUGAAAUCUAUGGGCUUAACCCAUAAACUGCUUUUGAAACUGUACGUCUUGAGUGAAGAAGAGGUAGGCGGAAUUAGCGGUGUAGCGGUGAAAUGCGUAGAGAUUGGGAGGAACACCAGUGGCGAAGGCGGACUACUGGGCUUUAACUGACGCUGAGGCACGAAAGCGUGGGUAGCAAACAGGAUGAGAUACCCCAGUAGUC